GAUUGUAUAUAUUGUGUUUGAUGCUGUGUAUACCACAUAUUGGGUACAUGUAUAUGUAACACCAGAACGGAUUCGAGGUGCUCAACACAACGCCAGGUGGCCAAUACAAUAUUGAGCGGCUGAUUCCCGCCUCGGGGUGUCUCCAUACUGCAGGAGAGAUUCACCAGUCAUGCCACACGGGAUUGGCGACGAUUAUUACGACCCAAAAACCGAGCCUGAUUCUGAUAUCAAUUGCGUGCGUAGUAAACACACAGCAAAGGAAAUUUCACAAAUAUUGUAAAUCUUGGGCUUUUUGUGGUUUAAUUGAGAGUGUACGGUCAACAACCAUAGGAUAGUUUCAUGUUAGGUGGUCUGAUCCGAGUUAGAAAAUUCGUCAUGUCAACUUUACAUGAACGAUAAACUUCAACAGAACCUCUGAGGCGUGUGAGUGUUACACCUGCGAAUGAUCACCGUCCCUCAAAAGGGUCGGUAAUUACAGGGAGGUGUCAUACUGUAUAGUAGAUAUCGAAAGUGCAGAAUCGAGUUUCUUUAUUCCGCGGACAUUCUAUUGUAGGACAUCUCAAACUUUUACUCCGGGACGCGCGCGUCAAUGGAAACCUGCCCUGCUCAGAUACCACGGAGAUAGAGAAUCAAAUGCGUGCGCUGAGAGUGAAAUUCUCUGAGAUAUUGUGUAAUAUUCGAAGUAUUUUUUAUUCAAAUGUAGGGAUUAAGAGACCAUUAAAAAUCUCUGUGAUAGAUAGUGGAGACUGUUCACCCUGGGUUAGACCAGCCUGGUAAAACUACGCGCGUCCAUGCGAGAUCUCGUGAUAGUGUGGUCGAUCGCUCCGGUCAACAAAAACGUAGCUACAAUCCAACCAUGCGUCAGGAAUUGGCAGUGGCGCAAUGACUUGGGACGAAGCUGGGGUUAGAUAAUAAGAAUAAGCGCACUCCAGAUUUUACAUGUUGUAUGACCAAUGUUAUGACAAAAGCAUUUCUGGUACAUGGCUAUUAGAACCGGUGACCUUAUAUUUAAGCCUUCUCAGUGGAAACGAGGGGAUAAAAUAUCAUUUAUACCGGCAGUGUAGAAGUAAAUAUUGUUUACGUGUGAGUAGAUAUCCUCAGCAUGGGUAACUUUACAGAUCCAACCAUGAAUUCCCCAAAUGCCUCCAUGUCAACGAUCGAGAAGGGGGUGGGAAGGGGUCCACUAGAUAUGAGCAUCUUUUGGGAGUACCGCCUCACGACGACCCUUUAUAAAUACAUUCCGCCUGUACUAAUCAUAACCGGGACCUGUCUCAACAGUUUAACCAUUACUGUUCUCCUUAAACGGAAAUUUGGUAAAUCAUCAACGAGAAUCUUGCUUAUUGUUAUAGCUGUCGCAGACACCGCGGUCCUGUGGACUGGCCUACUGCGACACUGGCUGCUCUAUACCAUUGACUUGGAUGUGAGGCUUCUAACAGAUCUUGCAUGUCCAGUCCACUUUUUCUUCACAAGUUUCUUCAACCACUUUUCAAGCUGGACCAUCAUGCUGUUAACCAUUGAGAGGUGCAUCUCUGUAACCUUUCCUAUAAAAGCUAGGAUUAUCUGCACAGGAAAAUGGACAAUCGUCACAAUAACAGCAGUUUUUUCAAUCCUGUUUAUCCUAAAUUCACACAUACUCAUGUUCUACAGGAUCGACCCCGAAAGUCCGAGAGCUGCAUUUGGCAUUCUGUGUUUUCCGACAACCGAAAACUACCAGAAAUUCUGGGCAAAUAUAUGGUCCUGGAUAGACCUACUCUCAUCAUCGUUUAUACCAUUCCUUGUAAUAAUUCUGUGCAACUGUUCAAUUCUACACCAAGUCAUUCUAAGUAAUAAAAAGAGAAAAAGUCUCCAGCAUCCGGGGCAAGGUGCAGAGAGUCAGACAGCACAGAUGAUGAGCAUGACCUACAUGUUAGCUACUGUUAGCAUAGUGUUUAUCGUAUUAACGUUACCAGAACGCAUGUACUUGUUAUUCGUUUUCAUUUUUAACACUGAUUUCACUUUGCAGCAAAGAAUCAGAUUGAUUCUUGCCCAUUGUUUUACGAUUUCAUUUCAAUACACCAAUAAUACAAUAAAUUUUCUGCUGUACUGCGUUAGUGGAACGCAAUUUCGAACUGAGGUAUACCGGAUGUUCCGAGCAUGAUUCUGCGACUGUCAUUAGGUUACACAGAUUCAACUAUAAAGCAAUGCAUCCGAAUACAAUACUUGCUCAGUUUACCACCACAAUCUACAAAACAACGACUGAGAAGAACCUCUGUGACGGAGAUUGAAUAUUGCCAUUGAUAUUCAAGGUGGCAGACACUAUGGCCGUCAUUCUUUGAGCAAUGACAUGUUACCAUCUAGCACUAUCAUUGAUUGAUUCACAUUGCGAAAUACGUAAUUUGCAUUGCUGCAAAUUGUCUUGGUUACUGAAAAUCGGUUUCUCUGUUAUCCGGCUAGUGAUGACGGACGUGAAAGCAUUAGCUUGGAGGCAUUUUCACACGAAUCUUAGGCAGAAAUGCAUUAAAAGACGGUUUCACAUGAUACUCGUGCACUUUCCGAGUACAAGCAGAACAGUACUAUGCUUACACCCAGAACACUGCUUGUACUCAGAAAUCACACGAGGGUGGUUCAACCAUUACUUGAGUAAAGUGCAAAGAAGGGAAAUUGACGACGACAUGUACAUCAGCGGAAGUCCUAACACUUGUAUUAUCUUCUUUAUAUGUUAACAAAAGGGGAUGAUUAUAGUGUUACGAAAACCGCCAACGUGACCAAGAAUCGGAAUGACGGUAUGUCUCUAUUGCCUCCCUGGUACAACCCAUUGGGAGCGUCCAAUAUUUAAAGCCUGCCCAUAGGCUUUCGAACAGGUCAGACACCACGGAGAUUGCGCUGAGAGUGAAAUUCUCUGAGAUAUUGUAUAGGCAAAAUAUUCCAGUGCAUGGCUAUUGACACCAGUGACCGUAUAUUAAGAUCUCUCUGGCAUUCUGGAAACUAGGGGGAGAACACCAUUUUUUUCACCGACAGUGCAAAGAUAAAUACUUAAGUAGAUAUUCUCACUGUGGGUAACUUUACAGAUCAAGCCAUGGCUUCCCCAAUGCAUCUUGAGGAAAAACCCAGAAUCUCAGGAUGCUUUUCUAUUGCUACGCAGCCUGAGACUUAGUGGUCGCUAUGUACUUAUAAACCUGGAUCUGAAUGUCAAAUGGGUCGUCGCUCUCGCGUCCGUUCAUUCGUCAUCUGCUGACACACCUGGCCAUGCUGCUGGCUGGGAUCGAUAUUUCAAGGCGAUGGUUCACUGAGCCAAGGCAAGUUAUGUCUUUUAAAUAGCUGAAGAGAUGCCACUGGCGGCUGUGUUAGUCUCAUCAGCUGCAGGCCUAUACAGCACAGAUCUAUAUACACAAGCAAAAAUAUGCUUUGAAAUUUCGUUCUCAACACAGGUCAAAACAGAAAUUUUCGGCAAAAAUAACUUGUAUUUCUCAUUAAAUAUAAUGAAAUUGGGAUUGUUCGUCGUGUGGUUGCUGUUUACAGGAUCCAUCGUCUUUUUUGAUUCGCCAGACGGUUGGGGAACAUCCGAAGACGAGUCGCCAGCACCACGACCGCCACCACCCGUGACUCCAGAUAACCCGGGGCCAAUACUUGCGCGGCUUUGCAGCGACAUUUCGGAGGGGGAGCCAUUGUGCGCCCCCGCCAAUUCCCGACGCCGUGUUUGACAGUAGCUCGUUUACAGUUAGGCUACAUGUUGAUAUGAUUCAAUGACAUCAAACCUUUUUAAGGGGACAUUGGACCCUUUUAUGGGUCCCAUUUCUGACGUAAUGUGCAACUUUUACACGCGGGAAAAAAUAUUUUGAAAUCAGUUUCUCCAUAGUACUCUUGUUUUCCCCAUUGCCCGCUAAUUUGUCAAACAGAAUUUCACACCUAUGGCCUAUCAGGCAUUUUCGUGUUUCGUUUUUCCGAUGUUACGCCUAAGCAUAUACAUGUACUGCAAAAAUAUUAAAAAAUCCAUUUGGUAAA